GGACUGCGAUGAUGUGAAAGGUUGCCAAGAAGGAUUUUGGGGAAAUUUUCACGGAGAAUGUCCGUUCAAGAAUCGGGCGACAG
rfam:Geosporobacter subterraneus DSM 17957 genome assembly, contig: EJ58DRAFT_scaffold00054.54